rnacentral:tRNA from 1 species
GGGCCUGUAGCUCAGUUGGUAGAGCAGCUGACUCUUAAUCAGCGGGUCUGGGGUUCGAAUCCCCACGGGCCCA